UACGCAGGGGGCUAGCGUUGCUCGGAAUCACUGGGCGUAAAGGGUGCGUAGGCGGGUCUUUAAGUCAGGGGUGAAAUCCUGGAGCUCAACUCCAGAACUGCCUUUGAUACUGAAGAUCUUGAGUCCGGGAGAGGUGAGUGGAACUGCGAGUGUAGAGGUGAAAUUCGUAGAUAUUCGCAAGAACACCAGUGGCGAAGGCGGCUCACUGGCCCGGUACUGACGCUGAGGCACGAAAGCGUGGGGAGCAAACAGG
rnacentral:rRNA from 1 species